CGGACCAGGACUCCUACGGGAGGCAGCAGUGAGGAAUAUUGGGCAAUGGACGCAGUCUGACCCAGCCAUGCCGCGUGCAGAUGACGCCCUACGGGUGUAAACUGCUUUUAUACAGGAAGAAACUCACGCUCGUGAGCGUGACUGACGGUACUGUAAGAAUAAGCAUCAGCUAACUCCGUGCCCAGCAGCCGCGGUAAUACGGAGGAUGCAAGCGUUAUCCGGGAUUUAUUGGGUUUAAAGGGUGCGUAGGCGGGAAAUUAAGUCAGUGGUGAAAUCCUUCAGCUUAACUGAAGAACUGCCAUUGAUACUGGUUUUCUUGAGUACAGUUGAGGUGGGCGGAAUGUAUAAUGUAGCGGUGAAAUGCUUAGAUAUUAUACAGAACACCGAUUGCGUAGGCAGCUCACUAAACUGUUACUGACGCUCAGGCACGAAAGCGUGGGGAGCGAACAGGAUUAGAUACCCUGGUAGUCCACGCUGUAAACGAUGAUCACUCGUUGUUGGCGAUACACAGUCAGCGACUGAGCAAAAGCAUUAAGUGAUCCACCUGGGGAGUACGAUCGCAAGAUUGAAACUCAAAGGAAUUGACGGGGGCCCGCACAAGCGGAGGAACAUGUGGUUUAAUUCGAUGAUACGCGAGGAACCUUACCUGGGCUUAAAUGCAGGACGAUUUCCGCCGAAAGGUGGUUUUCUUCGGACGGCCUGCAAGGUGCUGCAUGGUUGUCGUCAGCUCGUGCCGUGAGGUGUCGGGUUAAGUCCCAUAACGAGCGCAACCCUCAUCGUUAGUUGCCAUCGGGUAAUGCCGGGGACUCUAACGAAACUGCCGGUGUAAACCGUGAGGAAGGUGGGGAUGACGUCAAAUCAGCACGGCCCUUAUGUCCAGGGCUACACACGUGUUACAAUGGCCGGAACAAAGGGCAGCUACCUGGUGACAGGAUGCUAAUCUCGAAAACCGGUCUUAGUUCGGAUCGAAGUCUGCAAUUCGACUUCGUGAAGUUGGAUUCGCUAGUAAUCGCGCAUCAGCCACGGCGCGGUGAAUACGUUCCCGGGCCUUGUACACACCGCCCGUCAAGCCAUGGAAGCCGGGAGUGCCUGAAGUCCGUAACCGUAAGGAGCGGCCU
rnacentral:rRNA from 1 species